AUUUUACGAUUGUUGAACAUUUUAUUAUUUGCAGAAGAGUGUAGAGAGUACAACAGAGAUCUAUUGACUACGAGUACUAAGUGAUGUAUCCAAAUAUAUAGCUUUAUGAUAGACAGAUUCUAUCCAAAAUAAGGUAUAUGUGGAUAUUUUGUCACCCCAGGCCCAAUUCUGAACGGAGUGAAGUCUAAAAUCGGGUAUAUUUUUUCUUCCAAAUACAUAUAAAUAUUAUUUUGUGAGGGAAAUUUGAACAUUUUCUUGGUCUAUAAACUUAAGCGAGACACAUUUUUAAAUUAAUUAAUUAAACAAAGGUCUAAAUGCAUGAUUCUUGUCUUAUAUUGUGAUAUAUAGAUAUAUUUUAAUACAGAGUUCGUAUAAGUUAUAAGUUAACAAAUGGGAUUGAGAAGAGAGAACGACAGUAAGGCUUCUAGGUAUUUCAUUAUCCUAAUUAUUGCGGUGUCCUCAGAGGCAAGAAGAUACUACCUUCGAAGAUUUAAGGUUUCAUAGCAUAUUUGGGAAAUUUUUUGGCACCAAAGCCAUAAAAUAUCAUUUAUCAGUAUCAGAAAAAUUUUAUACAGCAUCCAAUUAAGAAGAGAAUGUAGAUUUUUUCCAUAUUUCAGAUUUUUUAGUAACUAUAUCCUGUAAUUAAUAAUUAUUAUUUUAUAAAAGCAUUUUUUCGAACUUCGAAACCAAAUAUUUCGAUUUGUCUUCGCAAUUUUUUUUUAAUUUUUUCUGAAUCUCACGGAAAAAAAUCAUUUUGGUCCAAUACACAGAAAAAAAGUCCAUUUCGCCGUAUAGUGUUAUUGGUUGGGCGGUUUUUACUAUUUUUGGUGUAUGCCAAAAAAGCUUUAUGUAAGUUUAACCCUUCUGCACAAAUUGGGUCAAAAUGACCCAAAUUUAAGAAACAAACGCGUAUUAUCAUGCCUUAGGAUGGCUAAUUGCUUAUAAAACCAUUUUGAUAUCCUCAGUCUGAGUCUUAUGAUUAGUUGUAGGUACACAUUUUUUUCCCGGACGAGCUAGUUUUUUUACAUAAUUUUUUAAAAACUUUUCGUACGCGUAUACAAUUUGUAGGUCAUUUUGACCACCAAGAAAAUUUAUGCUCAAAUGUGACUAAACAGAAAAAGCGUGCUAGUGCUUCCUCAUUCGGCAGAGACUAGGGAUGAUCAGAAAAAAAACCAGAAAUAAUACAUCACUAUAAUGCGACUAAAGCAGGUGUUGAUGCGCUGGACCAAUUAGUAGCAACGUACACAUGUAAACGCCAAACGAAACGAUGGCCAGUUGCACUCUUUUCCAAUAUGGUCGAUGUUUCGGGAUAUAACGCAUAUGUUAUAUGGACCGAACUUAAUCCCGAAUGGAACAGAACUAAAAACUUUAAGCGGCGAUUAUUUUUAGUAGACUUGGCCACAUCUUUGGUAACCCCGCACAUUGCACGCCAAAAGCGAAUGCCCUAUGGUCCUUCUGCAAAAAGAGUUGUGGAAAACAUCCAGGAAGCAGUCGCAGCAGACACUCCCAGUUUAUCCACGGUCGUGCAGCCUCAAGAUUCUCUUUUAUGCUUCUUGGGUAAGAGACAAAGGUGUUUUUAUUGUCCACAUACUAAAAACUCCAACAAGCAUUCAGUUCGUUGCGAUAAAUGCUUGAAAUUUAUAUGCAAACAACAUAGUGUAAAGGCAUUUAUGUGUAUAAAUUGUCAGAAUUGAUGUAUUUUUUACUGACUCCUAUUGAAAACAGUUUUGAAUUUGUUAAUUUUAUGUUUGAAUAAUAAAAAAAAUGAGUUUGCCAUUAUAAUUUUACCAUACUGACGUGUUUUUGCUAUUGGGUCAUAUUGACCCACAAAUUGUUUAUGAGGGGUACAAUCUCAAUUUGUGCAGAAGGGUUAAAUAUUCCUCAUAACCGCUAAUGACUUCUGAAAACUGAAAAAGGUAGACAUUUUCUCGUACUUUGUUUCUUCUUUCCAUGUGGCUGUAGUUAGUCUAUAAUUAUAGAUUUGUCGACUAUCUUGACAUAUCAAGGACUACUCCGAUAUAACGAUACAUUUUAUUUCGCCGGAGGAUUCUUAUAAAUCGCUCAUCUUGAAUCAUCGAGUUUUUCGGUUCUAGAAUCACACCCUCUUCAUUAACAUACCCUAUGUGGUAGCAAAUAAGCUAACUAACUCCGCUUCGGCGCCAAUCACUGUAGUAUACAUAUAUGAAGAAUUUCAGACUAAGCUCACUGCAAGAGUCACGCGAAUUUUGGGUUCGUACAGACACAAUGUCAACAACGUCCCAUUUACCAAAAAAUAUUAUAUUUCAAAUGCUUAUGAAACUGCAUACAAACAUUCUGGCAUAAAUCUUCCACGCUUUAACCGGCGAAUUCGGUGACAUUACCUUAUGUAAAUUCAAGUGUACGGGCAUGCAGCGCCAGAACUAGGUUGGGCUGGGUGUGUUCAAGGAAAUGUUGAAAUUUGUGCCGAAUUAACACAUUUCCAUGGACGCCGCAAAGUGGGUUGGGCGAAGUCAAA